rnacentral:rRNA from 1 species
AUACGGAGGGUGCAAGCGUUAUCCGGAAUCAUUGGGUUUAAAGGGUCCGCAGGCGGAUUAAUAAGUCAGUGGUGAAAUCCUCUCGCUCAACGAGAGAACUGCCAUCGAAACUGUUAGUCUUGAAUUCGGUCGAAGUAGGCGGAAUGUGUCAUGUAGCGGUGAAAUGCAUAGAUAUGACACAGAACACCGAUAGCGAAGGCAGCUUACUAGACCUGGAUUGACGCUCAUGGACGAAAGCGUGGGGAGCGAACAGGAUUAGAAACCCCGGUAGUCC